CGGCUUUCCGUGGCGUUUUAUAUCCAUCUUCAAUUGAAUUUUCGCUGCACCUUGCGCAUCACUUCCGGGUUGCAGGCGGAGGUCUUUUCACAUCUGGGUCGUAUGUUGACUUCCGGGUAUGCGCACGCAGCGUGCGUCCGAAAUAAUUUUCUGUUGCCCUCAGGAGUGGGAAACGUCCAUAUACAGUGUUCAAGUCCCACUAUGAAUUUAUGAGGAUAAAAAAGCAAUUAUAAAUGUAAAAUUGUAAUACUUUGGUAUUAAGCAUG